AGCGAACGCUGGCGGCAGGCUUAACACAUGCAAGUCGAGCGGGCACUUUCGGGUGUCAGCGGCGGACGGGUGAGUAACACGUGGGAACGUGCCCUCUGGUUCGGAAUAACUCAGGGAAACUUGAGCUAAUACCGGAUACGCCCUUUUGGGGGAAGGCUUGCUGCCGGAGGAUCGGCCCGCGUCUGAUUAGCUAGUUGGUGAGGUAACGGCUCACCAAGGCGACGAGCAGUAGCUGGUCUGAGAGGAUGAUCAGCCACACUGGGACUGAGACACGGCCCAGACUCCUACGGGAGGCAGCAGUGGGGAAUAUUGGACAAUGGGCGCAAGCCUGAUCCAGCCAUGCCGCGUGAGUGAUGAAGGCCUUAGGGUUGUAAAGCUCUUUUAUCCGGGACGAUAAUGACGGUACCGGAGGAAUAAGCCCCGGCUAACUUCGUG
rnacentral:rRNA from 1 species